GCUUAGCCACAAAACUUGGACAUUUACAUUAUCCCCCGCCAGAGUACUACGAGCAAUAGCUUAAAACUCAAGAGACUUGGCGGUGUCCUAAAUCCAUCCAGAGGAGCCUGUUCUAUAAUCGAUAAUCCACGUUCAACCUCACCACCAUUUGCCAGUUCAGCUUAUAUACCACCGUCGCCAGCAUACCUUAUUGAAAGCAUUAAAGUAAGCAAAAAUGACCACACAAACACGUCAGGUCAAGGUGUAGCAUAUAUGAUGGUAAGAAAUGGGCUACAUUUUUUUUUAAAAACCACGGAUAAUAAAAUGAAAUCAUAUUUUAAGACGGAUUUGACAGUAAGAAAAGAUCAUAAUGCUAUUCUUAAUUUGGCCCUAGGACGCGC
rnacentral:rRNA from 1 species